CGUUCUAUCGCCUAAUUGGUAAAGGCACAUCGCUGAUCACAGGCGAGGUUGUGGGUUCGAGACCCGCUGGAACGA
rnacentral:tRNA from 1 species